rnacentral:misc_RNA from 1 species
AACGCACCUUGCGCCCUUUGGUAUUCCGAAGGGCACACCUGUUUGAGUGUCAUUAAUUUCUCAACCCUAUCAUUCUUUAAUUGGAGUGAUAGUGGUUGGAUGUUGAGUGUUGCUGGAUUAAUUUUUAGUUCAGCUCACUUCAAAUAUAUGAGCAGGCUCCUAUUUUCUCGGAUUGACUCAACGUAAUAAGUAAAUUUCGUUGAGGAUGCCUUUUGGCGGCCGAAAUUUAGGGAAGUGCCGCUACUAGUUGUCUAUUACACUUUAGACCUCAAAUCAGGUGGGACUACCCGCUGAACUUAA